AGUGCUGUGUGUUGGAUGGUAUCCUGCCAUGCUGUUGACUGUACCCGAUACAACACACACUCUGUAUCUUGCCGGGGUAAAUUUCAACAAUCUCAAGGAUGGUUCAUUCAAAAUGGUUCCAAACCUUAGAGAUCUGAAGAUUUUGGUUAUUCAGGCGACCAGCGAUGAAACGGAUUUAAAGAAAAACACUUUUGAUGGCUUCGCUAAUUUGUCCUCCCUGGUAAUAUUUGAUAUUAAUCUGAGAAAAAUCGACUCUGGAGCGUUUGCCGGACUCGAUCAUUUGGAC